AAGACCCCAUGCGUCGC
rnacentral:rRNA from 1 species